rnacentral:piRNA from 1 species
UCUAUAUGCUGGACUGCUGAGACG